AUGCAUUGUGAAUACCAUCUUAACUCAAACAAAUGCGGUGAGCAUGGCGGCGUCGCCGCGGAUCUGCAGGCAAAGCGGAAGGAUUGGAGUCCAUAUAAGGUGGCUGCGGAUCUGUGUGUAAAGCAGAAGGAAUUAGUACAGUACCAUCGAGAACCUACGAUAUACAUUGUGAAUACCUUCUUAACUCAAACAAUUGCAAUGAGCGUGGCGGCGUCGCCGCGGAUCUGCACGCAAAGCGGAGGAUUGGAGUACGUGUAA